GUUGAGGUUAACUAAGGGCGUAUGGUGGAUGCCUUGACACUAAAUGGCGACGAAGGACGCGGCGUAACUGCGAUAAGCCUCGGGGAGGUGUGUAGCAACCUUUAAUCCGGGGAUUUCCGAAUGGGGCAACCCAAUUGUGUAAACCACAAUUACCCCGCCUAGAAAGCGUGGGCGCGAACCCGCUGAAGUGAAACAUCUCAUUAAGCGGAGGAAAACAAAAAAACAUCCCGUUUUUGACGGGAUCUAUUCCCCCAGUAGCGGCGAGCGAAAAGGGAGAUAGUCUAAACCCUGUUUUGUCUAUGACAAGACGGGGUGUUGGAAGGUAUAUACUCUGGCGCUCUCGCGGACUAGUGCCAAAUUUUGGCGCCAGUCCGCUUGUAGCGAUAAGGGGAAGUUACAAAUUCUUUUGUUAGCCGAAGUCCCUGGGAAGGGAUACCAAAGAAGGUGAAAGUCCUGUAGGCGAAAACAAAAGAACUUCCUAGUAUGUGUCCUUAAAUACCCCGACGAACGAAAGCUUCGGGGGAAGCAUCCUGAACUAUCAGGAAAGACUAAAUACAUUUAGUGAUCGAUAGCGAACUAGUACCGUGAGGGAAAGGUGAAAAGCAGGCCGGCGAGGCCGAUGAAAUAAAACCUGAAACCAUAUGUCUACAAGGAACGGAAGUCCCAUGAGGACAACCGUGUGCCUAUUGAAGAAUGAACCAACGAGUUUAUGUGCAUCGCUUGUCUAAGCUCUACGGAGUGUAGGCGAAGCGAAAGCGAGUCUUAAAAGGGCGUAUGCCUUGUGUGUAACACAAGUGACUGACGACCAACGACCCAUGACUUACGACAUUUAAUUUUUGUCGUUAGUUGUUAGUUGUAAGUUGUGAGUUACUCGCGUUAUACGCGAGGCCGCGGUGUGCAUAAGACCCGAAGCCAGAUGAGCUUACCUUGGGCAGGGUGAACCUCGCCGAAAGGCGGGAGGAGGCCCGAACCGGUUGGUUGUGCAAAACCUUCGGAUGACCCGAGGUAGGGAGUGAAAAGCUAAUCGAAUCUGGUAAUAGCUGGUUCUCUCCGAAAUAGCUUUCGGGCUAGCGUCCAGGAAAAAUAUUGGAGGGGUAGAGCCACUGGUUGAGAAGUAAAGGGCGAAAGCUCGGCUUCUCAGUCAAACUCCGAAUACUUCAAUAAAUCGCCUGGGCAGUUAGACUAUGGGGGCUAAGCUCCAUAGUCGCAAGGGAAAAAGCCCAGACCGCCGCUGCCAGAGACAGGUAGGAGGUUGGCUUAGAGGUAGCCAUCCUUUAAAGAGUGUGUAACAACUCACUACUAGAUGGCAGACUGCGCCGAAAAUUUACCGGGGCUAAGCAUAUUACCGAAGACGCGGGUUAUCUUGUCUGCGACAAGAUCACAGACAGUUUUGGACAAGACACGGACAGUGCGGAACUUUUUCCAAUCUGUCAGUGUUAUGUCAGCUCUGUCAGUGUUCUCGCCGCAGGCGAGAUAGCGGUAGGAGAGCAUUCCUAGCAGCGAUGAAGCCUCAGCCGCGAGGCGGGGUGGAGCGCUAGGAAGAGAAAAUGUUGGUAUGAGUAACCACAAGUCCGAUGUGAAUUUGGACCCCCGAAAAUCCAAGGUUUCCUUCGCAAUGGAAAUCAGCGAAGGGUUAGGCGGGACCUAAGGCAAUGGCGAAAGCCGCAGCUGAUGGACAGCCGGUUAAUAUUCCGGCCCCUCAGUUCUUUUCGAUGGAGUGACGAAGUUGAGUAGAGAGAGCAUCUUAAUGGUUUGGUGUUUUUGAUCGAGGACGUGUUCUCGGUAAAUCCGGAACGCUGCCUUCAAUGGCGAUUCCCAGAGUAAAAACAACUCGGCGAUUAUCAAAGAGCAGUCUCUCAAGCCGACUUCCAAGAAAAACUUCUAAGGUUAAAAGAAUUGAGCCUGUACCGUAAACCGACACUGGUGGGUGAGGCGAGAAGCCUAAGGGGAACGAGUGAGUCAUCCUCAAGGAACUCGGCAAAAAAGCGGCCGUAACUUCGGGAUAAGGCCUCCCUGAACUUCCGCAAGGAAGUGAAGGGUGCAACAAAAGUAUCUCUGGCGACUGUUUACUAAAAACACAGCUCCCUGCGAACUCGUAAGAGGAUGUAUAGGGGGUGACGCCUGACCGAUGCGAGAAGGUUAAUGCCGCCGGUCGUGGAGCGACUCGGCGCGCAGAUUAUCGCGGAUUAUAACGCAGAUAAACGCAGAUAUAAUUCAUCAGCGUAAAUCAGCGUAUUUGUCAGCGUAAAUCAGCGUGCGAAGCCGCUUCACGGCUGAGUGGUUGAAGCCCUCGUCAAUGUCAGCAAUAACUAUAAUUGUUCUAAGGUAGCGCAAUUCCUUUCCGGGUAAGUUCCGGAGCGCACGAAUGGCGUAACGACUGGAGAACUGUCUCGAGGAUGAGCUCGGUGAAAAUGCGAUUCCCGUGAAGACGCGGGGUACCUGCAGCGGGACGAAAAGACCCCAGGAGCUUUACUGUAGCUUGAUAUUGGCUUUAGGGUUUGGAUGCGUAGCGUAGUGGGCAGGCUUCGAAGCUUUGCUUUCGGGCAGAGUGGAGCCGACAAUGAAACACCCAUCUUUCAGAUUUUAAAGUCUAACCUUGACGGCAAAAACGGCAGGGAACAGUGUCUGGCGGGCAGUUUUAAUGGGGCGUUAUCCUCCUAAAAAGUAACGGAGGAGUUUAAAGGUCAGCUUAGCCCGGAUGGAAAUCGGGCUGGACGUGUAAAGGCGUAAGCUGGCUUGACGGCGAGACGGACAUGUCGAGCCGAUGCGAAAGCAGAACUUAGUGACCCGACGGCAAUGUUAUACGUUUUAAUUAAUGUGUAACUCUUCAUAGGAAGGCCGAAGACAACGGAUAAAAGCUACCCUGGGGAUAACAGGCUGGUGAUGCCCGAGAGUCCAUAUCGACGGCAUCGCUCGGCACCUUAAUAUGUCGGGGUGCUACAGCAGCAAUGUUGUAGCCUGGUAUCUAAACCUUAGUAUUUGGCUUAUAACGGUGGACUCUAUUUGUUCUAAUAAAUAGACAAUACCGUGGGAAGUUUGACUCAUAAUGGAAAAUAAAUGAGUUAUAACCCCGUAGAGACUUGAUUUGAUGACACAUCAAAUCAGAGUUCUGGUUUUUAUCAGAACUAACACGCCAACUCCUCAAUUUUUUUGAGGAUGAAGAUAUAGUCCACACUAUUAGUGAUAAUAGAUUAUGUACGAUGUCGGCUCACCAUAGCGCGGGGGUGGAGAAGCUCCCAAGCGUUUGGCUGUUCGCCAAUUAAAAUGGUACGCGAGCUGGGUUUAGACCGUCGUGAGACAGGUUGGUCUCUAUCUGCUGCAGGCGUUGAUGCUUGAGGGAAGUUGGCCCUAGUACGAGAGGACCGGGCUGAACGAACCUCUGGUCUACCGGCUUUGGCACCAGCUGAAGCGCCGGGUAGCUAUGUUCGGAAGGGAUAAGUGCUGAAAGCAUCUAAGCGCGAAGCCCAUCCCAAGAUUAGGCAUCUUAGGGCGGUUGAAGAUGACGACCUUGAUAGGCUCCAGGUGUAAGAUUCGCAAGAAUUUUAGCCGAGGAGUACUAAUAGCCCAUUCAACCUUAACUU
rfam:Parcubacteria (Wolfebacteria) bacterium GW2011_GWC1_43_10 TV58_C0007, whole genome shotgun sequence.